CAUGUGUACGCAGUGUUCGAGACGGUGAGCAUACUGGCGGCUGUCAGUCACCAGCCCCUCUGGGCCCUCCCUCCACCCCCGCACCCCAUUCA
ensembl:miRNA